GCUUAUCGCCUCUGUACAUCUUUUGUUUCUCGCCCCUCUUUUUUUGGCAUCGGUCAAAAAAGGAGACAUUUGCCCCCGGGGUUUGAUGGCCGGUGAGUGGCUAAUGUUACAAUAACACUGCGGGAAACACUGUCUACUAC
ensembl:ncRNA C36F7.14 ncRNA